UCGAUUAGAGUUUGAUCCUGGCUCAGAUUGAACGCUGGCGGCAGGCCUAACACAUGCAAGUCGAGCGGUAACAGAAAGAAAGCUUGCUUUCUUUGCUGACGAGCGGCGGACGGGUGAGUAAUGCCUAGGAAGUUGCCCAGUAGAGGGGGAUAACCAUUGGAAACGAUGGCUAAUACCGCAUACUCUCUUCGGAGCAAAGCAGGGGACCUUCGGGCCUUGCGCUAUUGGAUACGCCUAGGUGGGAUUAGCUAGUUGGUGAGGUAAAGGCUCACCAAGGCGACGAUCCCUAGCUGGUCUGAGAGGAUGAUCAGCCACACUGGAACUGAGACACGGUCCAGACUCCUACGGGAGGCAGCAGUGGGGAAUAUUGCACAAUGGGGGAAACCCUGAUGCAGCCAUGCCGCGUGUGUGAAGAAGGCCUUCGGGUUGUAAAGCACUUUCAGCAGUGAGGAAGGUGGUGUACUUAAUACGUACAUCAUUUGACGUUAGCUGCAGAAGAAGCACCGGCUAACUCCGUGCCAGCAGCCGCGGUAAUACGGAGGGUGCGAGCGUUAAUCGGAAUUACUGGGCGUAAAGCGCAUGCAGGUGGUUUGUUAAGUCAGAUGUGAAAGCCCGGGGCUCAACCUCGGAAGGUCAUUUGAAACUGGCAAACUGGAGUACUGUAGAGGGGGGUAGAAUUUCAGUGUAGCGGUGAAAUGCGUAGAGAUCUGAAAGAAUACCAGUGGCGAAAGCGGCCCCCUGGACAGAUACUGACACUCAGAUGCGAAAGCGUGGGGAGCAAACAGGAUUAGAUACCCUGGUAGUCCACGCCGUAAACGAUGUCUACUUGGAAGGUUGCGGUCUUGAACUGUGGCUUUCGGAGCUAACGCGUUAAGUAGACCGCCUGGGGAGUACGGUCGCAAGAUUAAAACUCAAAUGAAUUGACGGGGGCCCGCACAAGCGGUGGAGCAUGUGGUUUAAUUCGAUGCAACGCGAAGAACCUUACCUACUCUUGACAUCCAGAGAACUUAGCAGAGAUGCUUUGGUGCCUUCGGGAGCUCUGAGACAGGUGCUGCAUGGCUGUCGUCAGCUCGUGUUGUGAAAUGUUGGGUUAAGUCCCGCAACGAGCGCAACCCUUAUCCUUGUUUGCCAGCACUUCGGGUGGGAACUCCAGGGAGACUGCCGGUGAUAAACCGGAGGAAGGUGGGGACGACGUCAAGUCAUCAUGGCCCUUACGAGUAGGGCUACACACGUGCUACAAUGGCGCAUACAGAGGGCGGCCAGCCAGCGAUGGUGAGCGAAUCCCAAAAAGUGCGUCGUAGUCCGGAUUGGAGUCUGCAACUCGACUCCAUGAAGUCGGAAUCGCUAGUAAUCGUGGAUCAGAAUGCCACGGUGAAUACGUUCCCGGGCCUUGUACACACCGCCCGUCACACCAUGGGAGUGGGCUGCAAAAGAAGUGGGUAGUUUAACCUUCGGGAGGACGCUCACCACCUUGUGGUUCAUGACUGGGGUGAAGUCGUAACAAGGUAACCA
rnacentral:rRNA from 1 species